rnacentral:lncRNA from 1 species
GGUGGGGAUCUGGACCAUUUACAAGAUAAUAGUACAUUCUCAAAUUGAACGGGGUGGGGGUGACCCCCAGGAACUUCCAUUUAAUUUCAUUUGAUUAGUUUUAUUGUCCCUUACAAGAAUAUAUAUAGUUUAGGGGUGGGGAUGUUGACCGUUUAUAAGUUUUCAAACAAGAGGGGGUGGGGUGACCCCCUAGGGACUUUCCUUUUAUUUCAUUUCAUUUGUUUUAUUGUCCCCUACAAGAAAAUAUAUGGUUUAGGGGUGGGGAUCUGGACCAUUUACAAGAUAAUAGUACAUUCUCAAAUUGAACGGGGUGGGGGUGACCCCCAGGAACUUCCAUUUAAUUUCAUUUGAUUAGUUUUAUUGUCCCCUACAAG